AUAAUUAGGUCAUUAGCAAGACUGUGGGUAACCGAUCUACACAAGCAGGAGAUUCUACUGAUCUCAGAUUCAAGGGGCCGCAGGAGGAACUACUGGAAAAUGGUCUGCAGUCGGAUUAGAUCAAAGAUGGUGCGACGUCACUUUAAUGGCCUCCUGAAGGGCUUCCCUGAGUUGACCUCUAAACUGGAAAUGGAGAACCUGAACAUGCCCUCAGAGCAGAGCUCAACUCUCCCUUCUCCUCAACUUUCAAUCCUGCAGCUCCGCUCAGGUCAGAUGUGAAGGGGAAGUUCACUGGUCCUUCCUCAGUCGAAUCCCUGCUGAAGUGAGAUGGCCCAUCUGCUCAGACCUGGGCAGAUCAGCUCCCAAGGUGCACCAGCUGCUGCUACUCUAAACAGGAUCUGCUCCUUCAGACUUCUUCUGGAUCUUCCCCUAUCUACUCAGCAGGGGGCAGCACGCCAGGAGGAUUCCUGCACACUCUGAUCUCUCCUCCUCCAUCUACACAAGAGCUUCAGCUGCUUCCUAUUUCACUGGCUCGCACUACGGUUACAUCACGUACUCUGCGCCAGCAUUUCCACCAGAAACUCUCCAUUUUUAAUUGUAUGUUUUUGCUUUAAGCCUAACAAAAGAAAAUAAAAAAAAUAAAUAACUUUUAAAUUUGUGGUCACACUCCAAAAUAUUUCAACAUAGAUAUGCAGUACAGCCAGAAAAAGCCUGUGAUUUGUCUUAUUUUAUCUUAUUUUUUUAAAUUUUGAUUUGUUUUAUUUUGAUAAAUAAACUUUUGCAAUAAAUGUAUGAUUUUUUCAAACAAAAUGCUCCUGUUUUUUAGGUCCGUAUGAUCUGACCACAAGAUGGAAGUAGAGUGUUUCAAUUUGUUUCGGAGAUGUACCAUGAGACAAAAUUACAAUCUUGUACAACUAAUACAAUAAAAAUCUCAUUGUUUGA